CUAUACAUGCAGUCGAGCGGACAGAUGGGAGCUUGCUCCCUGAUGUUAGCGGCGGACGGGUGAGUAACACGUGGGUAACCUGCCUGUAAGACUGGGAUAACUCCGGGAAACCGGGGCUAAUACCGGAUGGUUGUCUGAACCGCAUGGUUCAGACAUAAAAGGUGGCUUCGGCUACCACUUACAGAUGGACCCGCGGCGCAUUAGCUAGUUGGUGAGGUAACGGCUCACCAAGGCGACGAUGCGUAGCCGACCUGAGAGGGUGAUCGGCCACACUGGGACUGAGACACGGCCCAGACUCCUACGGGAGGCAGCAGUAGGGAAUCUUCCGCAAUGGACGAAAGUCUGACGGAGCAACGCCGCGUGAGUGAUGAAGGUUUUCGGAUCGUAAAGCUCUGUUGUUAGGGAAGAACAAGUGCCGUUCAAAUAGGGCGGCACCUUGACGGUACCUAACCAGAAAGCCACGGCUAACUACGUGCCAGCAGCCGCGGUAAUACGUAGGUGGCAAGCGUUGUCCGGAAUUAUUGGGCGUAAAGGGCUCGCAGGCGGUUUCUUAAGUCUGAUGUGAAAGCCCCCGGCUCAACCGGGGAGGGUCAUUGGAAACUGGGGAACUUGAGUGCAGAAGAGGAGAGUGGAAUUCCACGUGUAGCGGUGAAAUGCGUAGAGAUGUGGAGGAACACCAGUGGCGAAGGCGACUCUCUGGUCUGUAACUGACGCUGAGGAGCGAAAGCGUGGGGAGCGAACAGGAUUAGAU
rnacentral:rRNA from 1 species